rnacentral:rRNA from 1 species
GAUGAAGAACGCAGCGAAAUGCGAUAAGUAAUGUGAAUUGCAGAAUUCAGUGAAUCAUCGAAUCUUUGAACGCACAUUGCGCCCCUUGGUAUUCCGGGGGGCAUGCCUGUUCGAGCGUCAUUACAACCCUCAAGCUCUGCUUGGAAUUGGGCACCGUCCUCACUGCGGACGCGCCUCAAAGACCUCGGCGGUGGCUGUUCAGCCCUCAAGCGUAGUAGAAUACACCUCGCUUUGGAGCGGUUGGCGUCGCCCGCCGGACGAACCUUCUGAACUUUUCUCAAGGUUGACCUCGGAUCAGGUAGGGAUACCCGCUGAACUUAAGCAUAUCAAUAAGCGGAGGA